rnacentral:tRNA from 1 species
UCUAAAGUGGCAGAUUAGUGCAAUGAAUUUAAGCUUCAUAUAUAAAGAAUAUUCUUUUUUUAGAA